UCCCGAGGUUUUCCUCGGCAGUUAACUGCAGCCGGAUUUCUAAAACUUCGGCAGUUAACUGUCGAGAAGGUAAA
rfam:Medicago truncatula strain A17 chromosome 8, whole genome shotgun sequence.